CUAGGAAUUCAUGGAAAAUCCAGGAAAAAAGUGCAGGUAAGUAUGUUUUCUAUAUAUUUCCUAUAUAUUUGGCUACAGGGUACAGAUUGGAUUGUAUUACAUCCCCAAAUGGGACCUUGCCAUUUAUGCAUGGCUGGUUUACUUUAUGUGUGGGACUACAUUUAAUUUAAGUGGCUUAGGUCUGGGGUAAAAAAAAAGGGUCAUUUACCAGAUUAAAUGUGUG